rnacentral:rRNA from 1 species
UACGAACCGUGCGAACGUUGUUCGGAAUCACUGGGCUUAAAGGGCGCGUAGGCGGGCCAUAAAGUCAGGGGUGAAAUCCUCCAGCUUAACUGGAGAACUGCCUUUGAUACUGAUGGGCUCGAGUAAGGUAGGGGCAUGCGGAACUGAUGGUGGAGCGGUGAAAUGUGUUGAUAUCAGCAGGAACUCCGGUGGCGAAGGCGGCAUGCUGGACCUUCACUGACGCUGAGGUGCGAAAGCGUGGGGAGCAAACAGG